GGGGGUAUAGCUCAGCUGGGAGAGCGCUUGCAUGGCAUGCAAGAGGUCAGCGGUUCGAUCCCG
rnacentral:tRNA from 1 species